AUUGAACGCUGGCGGCAGGCCUAACACAUGCAAGUCGAACGGAGUGGCGGACGGGUGAGUAAUGUCUGGGAAACUGCCUGAUGGAGGGGGAUAACUACUGGAAACGGUAGCUAAUACCGCAUACUAUUGGAGCGGCCGAUAUCGGAUUGGCUAGUUGGUGGGGUAAAGGCUCACCAAGGCGACGAUCCGUAGCUGGUUUGAGAGGACGACCAGCCACACUGGGACUGAGACACGGCCCAGACUCCGACGGGAGGCAGCAGUGGGGAAUUUUGGACAAGGGGGGAAGCCCUGAUCCAGCCAUCCCGCGUGUGCGAUGAGGGCCUUCGGGUUGUAAAGCACUUUUGGCAGGAAAGCGGUACCUGCAGAAUAAGCACCGGCUAAGUACGUGCCAGCAGCCGCGGUAAUUC
rnacentral:rRNA from 1 species